GCGAAAGUGGCGGAACUGGCAGACGCGCUGGACUUAGAAUCCAGUGUCCGAAAUGGGUAUAGGGGUUCGAGUCCCCUCUUUCGCACCA
rnacentral:tRNA from 1 species